AAACCACACGUUUUGCGUCACACCAUCGGGGAAUGGCGGCGAGCGGCAUCGGAGUUGUAUAUUCUAGCUGCCCUCCAUCUAUACACGAAUACAAGGAGAGGUGGAGUCACCACUGGCGAUUUUAGCGAAAUUGCUUUUUCUCCAAUUUGUGCACAGGCUGAUGCAUUUCAAGGCCUACGCAAUAGCCUGCUUGGUGAUACAUCCAAACGUCAACGAGCUCAACAGUUUGCCCAUGGCACUGUGUCGUGUCUCAUCGAACGCAACCGUUGUGUUGUCGCUCCUCGUCACCGCAGAGCGCCCCAACAGAUGCCCCACCAUCGCCCUUACAUUGGUAGCAACCGUGGCUAUGGUCGCUGAGUGCCUCAAUUGCCACUCCACCCAUCGUCUUUUACAUGGCUCAGUUCACGUUGUAUGGGGAUGGAUGCGGGUGUAUAGAAGAAGACGAGGAUAUGGGUCAUUGGGGAGGAGACCAGUGCAGUCUGUGGGGAAGAGUCGAAGAUAUCAGACCAUGGCCGACAGUGGUGUAUGGGCAAACAGACCAGGAGGGUUAAAUAAUAUAGGCCUAGAGGUCAGCAGCGCAAGUAACAGUGCCUGCUGCACAAAUAGCUUACAGCCUAUCUUAUUCUAUGCUCACUGGCUAUGUAAUUCUAUUGGGGUGAUACUUAGCAAUCAUAAA